UUUGGUGACUGGAUAGUAAACCUUAGGUACAUAAAAGGAAACUAUUUGUUAGGUCAACAAAAUGCAUCAUGACUAGAAAGCUCAUUAUCUGCAGGGUUUUGUUCUCUUGCUUCCAUUUUUUGUAGUUUGAGCCUCUUGUGCUGCCAUCCACUGAAUUCCCAUAAAUGGAACUGAACCAUAUUGGUACUGCCAUCAAGGACUGGCAUGGACGACCUGGAAAAUGUUUUCAAUGGAUCCCAUUGCUAGGUGCUCUAAGAGGGCUCAAGGCUGCUCCUUUUCCAUUUUACCACUUUCAGGCAGUAUCACUCCCAACCAAGAAGAUCCUUUCCAGCACCACUGUGCAAAUGGAACUCUAAACACCUCUCUCCAGCCACAUAGAAACAUCCUGUAAACUCUAAGACAGCAUGGUUAGGCUCAAAGCUGUUCUGUUGGACUAUUGUGCUAAAUAAGACUGGUAGGUUUAUGUGAUGGGGAAGGGAUUUAAGGUCUGAGUCAGUAUGUGUGUGUGUUGUGGGGUGAUUGUCUUUUUGACUGUCCUUUUCUCUAGGAAUUUUCUUCUCGUGGAUUUGCCAACACAAACAACCCUAAGUACUCUUGGGCUGGGUAGCCAGGCUAACUCUCCACUAUCUAAGGAUUAAGGAAAUGUUCUAUUGUUUGUUUUUCCUCACUGACUUUUUUAACUGUCUUGACCUUGGUGCUGAGCAUUGAGAUUCAGGGAGUGGGCUUACAGUGGCAAAGGCAAGAGGGACCAUAAUGCCAUCAUCCAGAACAGCUUGUGAAGGUUCCAUUCUGAGGCUUGGAGGUGCCAAAACUCAAGCUAGUGGUAGCUGCUAAUAUGAGUUCCUGUCUGCCUUCUUUUGUACAUGGCUCUUUCUCAGAAACCUCUCUGGAUGCGAUAACACUGGCAGCCAGGAUUUGUGCUCUGAGUCCAGGGUCUAAGAUGACCCCUUAAUGUAAAAUGUGAGUGUCAUGGUCUUUCAGAGGUUGUAUAAUCAAAUGGGUGCAGAGACCAGGGAGUUACACAGAUGUAAAAACCAAGCAGGUGUGGUAGGGCCUGUGACUACAGAGUGCCCAUCCUAUUGACGUAAGAAACACUAGUCUAAGCUGAGAAUUUUAUGGAACCAUAAAGUGACCUCAAAAAAGUCACCAGAAUCUCUCAGAAGUGUCUGGAACAUCAAGGAUACAAAAGAAUUUAAACUACUCUCAAAGACUACCAGAAAAGCCAGGGGUCAUGCACUCUUGAUAAUUUUUCCCCAGAAUAUAACAGCCUCCAGAAUUCCCUGGCAGAUUUUUCAGAAUCAGUCUCUCUGGGGACCUUGGCUUCUUUUUUCAACACCAAUCAUCAUUUUGGUUUGAUUAAUCUUCCUGUAUGUGGCCGCUAGGACAUAAAGCGAGAUCAUCCAGGGCAACAAGUUUGUUCUUAAGUUAUUUGGGAAAACAGAUGUACAGGAAAGAUUAAAUUAUUAGUCCUUUGGGAAAUAUGAUGGUGGGGAGAAAAAUUAAAAAAAAUAGUUUUGUCCUUGUUCUAACAGAGAACAAUCUGUACAGCACUUAAUGUCAAAAGAUUGUAAAAACUAUUCCGGGAUGAGCCUGGAAUGAGAGAUGUGUGCACUGAACUGGGUGCUUGCCUUCUUUCACUCUCUGUAAGAGUGAGGAACAUUGAGACAGUCACAGGGCAGAGAAAGAGUCCUGAGAGAUGAAAAUGAUGGGGGCAAAGUGGCAACAGCAAAAAAUCCUGAGGUCAAGGCAAAGGUAGUGGAUUGUCCUUCUCCACCCACCUGCUUUUGUAAACUUCUACUCAUCCUGUAAAUUUUGGUAUUACCUCCUUUGAGAGACAUGCUUUGACCUCCACCAGGCUCCUUUCAAGACUCUUGAGUUCCUAUAACACUCCCAAGAAUAUAUCUAAUAGGCGACUUCCAUUUGGUACUCUAUUGAGUUAGAGACAGACAGAAGUGUGACUCUGCCUCCUUUUGCAGAGGUCUGGGCAAUUUAGAGGUGUGGACAAUUUAGCUCUGAAAGGUGGAAAACUCAGAGUUGUGAUAUCCAAAGUUCUGCAGUGUAUAUAUAUAUAUUAUAGAGACAAACGGGAAAUGCUGUUGUGGUUUUGUAUUUGCAAAGUAUGUCCAAUGUUGUGUUACCUAUAAGAUGAUAAAUUUGCUAUGGGAAUUUGCUGGCCAUGCAACAAAUUCUAUUAACCAUCUUAACAUGAUUUUCAUAAACUUCAGUUACUUCUAGAAUCAAAGAAUAUUCCACUGCCCCAAUAUAUGGUUAAGAACCUUAGGUUCAUCCUUGUCAACAAAUGGCAUAGUCAUCAAUUCAUAUCCUUGCUUUAUCAAUGCAAUAAUUGAUUUACUGAAAAAUCAUAUGAUAUUUCUAUAAGGAGUUUAAUUCUUAGAGAUUUAUUCUUCAAGUUGUCUUUUUGUGGUUCUACUGAAAUUUACUCUGUUGCAUUUUCUUUUCUCUAGCUGCUAAUGGCCACCCACAAACAUGGCGACCAUAUAUAUAUUAGGACUAGUGCAGUGCUAAAGACAUUAACACAGAUUUCCUCAAUUACAUCUGAGCAGUCAAACAUAUGGGGUGUUCCUCUCACAGAGUCACACUAUUCACUGAAGAAAGCUGUAAGCCCUUGGGAAUAUCAAAGCAUCCUGGAUUGAAGAAAUAUCCAGGAAUUGGGCAGGUAAGUCAAAUCUUUCCUUUUUAGACAGAGACUCUGAAAUGCAACACCAGUGCUAAAAACCAUAAAUCUUUGUUUUUUCCUGGAUCAGCACCCAGAACUUCCUAUAGAAAGGGGAAGUAGAGUGCUUUGAACUUUGUCCUAGAAAAAAAAGAAGUGAGCCUUUUUUUUGGAUGAUAUCCAUCAAGCUAAUGGCUGUGGCUUCCAGGGAGAUCUCAGAGGCAACAUGCAUUGUCACUGAUAUACUUGCUAUCUCCAGAGUCCCCAUGGAAAGGGUAUUCAUUUUGUAGCUAAUGUAAAUUACAGUGCCUGUCUUUGUAUUUCAGUGAUUUGAAGUGACAUUCUAUUAAAGGUGUUCCUGACGCAAACAGGAUUAGGUGGUAACGGGAGAAUUAAACAAGAACUAUGCUUGGCUGGUAACCUUGAGCCUAAUAGUCUUCAAGAAUAACAACAGUCUUUCUUUCUCUCCAUUUUUUAUACUGUGAUAUUGUCUUACAAGUAGCAACUUCAAGAAUUGAAAAAUUAUAGAGUGGGACCUCUGUUUUCUACCACAUUUGUUUACUAACAUCUGCUCAGGGACUUUAUCAAUGAUGAAGAUUUGAUAGUAGGUCAAAUUAAUUUAAGUUCCAUGUUAAUUAUGACCUUGAAACUUUGCUAAUAAAAAAAGUGAUGAUCAAAUUGCCCUGCCUUUG
rnacentral:lncRNA from 1 species